ACAAUGGGCGCAAGCCUGAUGCAGCGACGCCGCGUGAGGGAUGACGGCCUUCGGGUUGUAAACCUCUUUCAGUAGGGAAGAAGCGAAAGUGACGGUACCUGCAGAAGAAGCGCCGGCUAACUACGUGCCAGCAGCCGCGGUAAUACGUAGGGCGCAAGCGUUAUCCGGAAUUAUUGGGCGUAAAGAGCUCGUAGGCGGUUUGUCGCGUCUGCUGUGAAAGACCGGGGCUCAACUCCGGUUCUGCAGUGGGUACGGGCAGACUAGAGUGAUGUAGGGGAGACUGGAAUUCCUGGUGUAGCGGUGAAAUGCGCAGAUAUCAGGAGGAACACCGAUGGCGAAGGCAGGUCUCUGGGCAUUAACUGACGCUGAGGAGCGAAAGCAUGGGGAGCGAACAGGAUUAGAUACCCUGGUAGUCCAUGCCGUAAACGUUGGGCACUAGGUGUGGGGGACAUUCCACGUUUUCCGCGCCGUAGCUAACGCAUUAAGUGCCCCGCCUGGGGAGUACGGCCGCAAGGCUAAAACUCAAAGGAAUUGACGGGGGCCCGCACAAGCGGCGGAGCAUGCGGAUUAAUUCGAUGCAACGCGAAGAACCUUACCAAGGCUUGACAUGAACCGGUAAUACCUGGAAACAGGUGCCCCGCUUGCGGUCGGUUUACAGGUGGUGCAUGGUUGUCGUCAGCUCGUGUCGUGAGAUGUUGGGUUAAGUCCCGCAACGAGCGCAACCCUCGUUCUAUGUUGCCAGCGCGUUAUGGCGGGGACUCAUAGGAGACUGCCGGGGUCAACUCGGAGGAAGGUGGGGACGACGUCAAAUCAUCAUGCCCCUUAUGUCUUGGGCUUCACGCAUGCUACAAUGGCCGGUACAAAGGGUUGCGAUACUGUGAGGUGGAGCUAAUCCCAAAAAGCCGGUCUCAGUUCGGAUUGGGGUCUGCAACUCGACCCCAUGAAGUCGGAGUCGCUAGUAAUCGCAGAUCAGCAACGCUGCGGUGAAUACGUUCCCGGGCCUUGUACACACCGCCCGUCAAGUCACGAAAGUUGGUAACACCCGAAGCCGGUGGCCUAACCC
rnacentral:rRNA from 1 species